rnacentral:rRNA from 1 species
CGUAGGUAACCUGCCUGGUAGCGGGGGAUAACUAUUGGAAACGAUAGCUAAUACCGCAUAAUAGCAGUUAUUGCAUGAUAACUGUUUGAAAGGUGCAAUUGCAUCACUACCAGAUGGACCUGCGUUGUAUUAGCUAGUUGGUAGGGUAACGGCUCACCAAGGCGACGAUACAUAGCCGACCUGAGAGGGUGAUCGGCCACACUGGGACUGAGACACGGCCCAG